rfam:Marchantia polymorpha subsp. polymorpha scaffold2818, whole genome shotgun sequence.
GCAUCGGUGGUCUAGGGGUAGAAUAGUUCCCUGCCACGGAACAGACCCGGGUUCGAUUCCCGGCCGAUGCA